GACGAACGCUGGCGGCGUGCUUAACACAUGCAAGUCGAGCGAUGAAGCACCUUCGGGUGUGAAUUAGCGGCGAACGGGUGAGGAACACGUGAGAAAUCUGCCUUCAACACUGGGAUAACUCCGGGAAACCGGGGCUAAUACCGGAUAUGAAACCUGCGGGCAUCCGCGGGUUUGGAAAGUUUUUCGGUUGAAGAUGAUCUCGCGGCCUAUCAGCUUGUUGGUGAGGUAAUGGCUCACCAAGGCGACGACGGGUAGCCGGCCUGAGAGGGCGACCGGCCACACUGGGACUGAGACACGGCCCAGACUCCUACGGGAGGCAGCAGUGGGGAAUAUUGGGCAAUGGAGGAAACUCUGACCCAGCGACGCCGCGUGCGGGAUGAAGGCCUUCGGUUGUAACCGCUUCUAGCAGGAAGAAGCAAAAGUGACGGUACCUGCAGAAGAAGACACCGGCUAACUAUGUGCCAGCAG
rnacentral:rRNA from 1 species